UUGGUGUCUAAGGCAAGUUAAUGAGACAUGGUUAUUUAAUUGGUUCGUUAGCUAAUCUGGCCAAUUUAUUGGUGUCUUAAGAAGGUAAUGGGGAGAUCCCUAUCGAUCUCCACUUACCUGGCUAAUUUGAAAGAUUGGGUCUUGAAUUAGGUUGCUUAGCGAUCUGGUUUAGCCCAUACCAGUUAGAUCGAUCAUAUGAUAACUGAUU
rnacentral:lncRNA from 1 species